rnacentral:lncRNA from 1 species
CAAGUUCUUCACCAAAACUCAAACUUUCUCUCUCUAGUCUUGAAGCCUUCCUUCAAGGAUUCUCUUGAAUUCAAGUUAAUAGGAUGUGUUUAUGGAGGAUUUAAGUAGUGAUUUAUGUGUUUGGCAUACUUGGGUGAAGCUUCGAAGGUUUCAUCAAUGGCUAACAAUGGAGGAAAGUGAAGUGAGAGAUGAGGGAGAGGGAGAGAGAUCGAAAAUGGGGU